rnacentral:rRNA from 1 species
UACAGAGGGUGCGAGCGUUGUCCGGAAUCACUGGGCUUAAAGGGCGCGUAGGCGGUGCGGUACGGUUUCGGUGAAAUCCCUCGGCCCAACCGAGGAACAGCCGGGGCUACGGCCGCGCUAGACGGCAUCAGGGGACAGUGGAACUUCCGGUGGAGCGGUGAAAUGCGUAGAUAUCGGAAGGAACGCCGGUGGCGAAAGCGACUGUCUGGGGUGCCUGUGACGCUGAGGCGCGAAAGCCAGGGGAUCAAACGGG